rnacentral:rRNA from 1 species
GACGAACGCUGGCGGCGUGCCUAACACAUGCAAGUCGAACGGGGUAUUUCUUCGGAGAUACUUAGUGGCAACGGGUGAGUAACGCGUGAGAAACCUGGCCCUACAGUAGGGGAACAACCAGGCCAACGCCUGGCUAAUACCGUAUAUAGUGGAAAGGUCGCCUGACCUUUUGACGAAAGAUUUAUCGCUGUAGGAUGAGCUUGCGUCCGAUUAGCUAGUAGGCGGGGUAACGGCCCACCAAGGCAACGAUCAGUAGCCGGCCUGAGAGGGUGAACGGCCACAUUGGGACUGAGACACGGCCCAAACUCCUACGGGAGGCAGCAGUGGGGAAUAUUGCACAAUGGGGGAAACCCUGAUGCAGCGACGCCGCGUGAGUGAAGAAGUAUUUCGGUAUGUAAAGCUCUAUCAGCAGGGAAGAAAAUGACGGUACCUGACUAAGAAGCUCCGGCUAAAUACGUG